rnacentral:rRNA from 1 species
AUACGUAGGGAGCGAGCGUUGUCCGGAAUUACUGGGUGUAAAGGGAGCGUAGGCGGGACUGCAAGUCAGAUGUGAAAUACCGGGGCUUAACCCCGGAGCUGCAUUUGAAACUGUGGUUCUUGAGUGAAGUAGAGGCAAGCGGAAUUCCUGGUGUAGCGGUGAAAUGCGUAGAUAUCAGGAGGAACACCGGUGGCGAAGGCGGCUUGCUGGGCUUUUACUGACGCUGAGGCUCGAAAGCGUGGGUAGCAAACAGGAUUAGAUACCCUGGUAGUCCACGCUGUAAACGAUGAUUACUAGGUGUGGGGGGACUGACCCCUUCCGUGCCGCAGUUAACACAAUAAGUAAUCCACCUGGGGAGUACGGCCGCAAGGUUGAAACUUAAAGGAAUGGGCGGGG